UACGUAGGGUGCGAGCGUUGUCCGGAAUUAUUGGGCGUAAAGAGCUUGUAGGCGGUUUGUCGCGUCUGCUGUGAAAUUUCGGGGCUCAACCCCGAGCUUGCAGUGGGUACGGGCAGACUAGAGUGUGGUAGGGGAGACUGGAAUUCCUGGUGUAGCGGUGAAAUGCGUAGAGAUCCGGAGGAACACCGACGGCGCAGGCAGCGCCCUGGUCGCUUGCUGACGCUGAGGCACGAAAGCUGGGGGAGCAAACAGG
rnacentral:rRNA from 1 species